AAUAUUGCACAAUGGAGGAAACUCUGAUGCAGCGACGCCGCGUGAACGAUGAAGGCCUNCGGGUCNUNAAGUUCUUUCCUAGGGGNCGAUAAUGACGGUACCCUAGGAGGAAGCCACGGCUAACUACGUGCCAGCAGCCGCGGUAAUAAGUAGGGGGCGAGCGUUGUCCGGAAUUAUUGGGCGUAAAGGGUUCGUAUGCGGUCUUUUAAGCCAUAUUUGAAAGGUCACGGCUCAACCGUGGUGAGCAUUUGAAACUGAAAGGCUAGAGUUAAGGAGAGGAAAGUGGAAUUCCUAGUGUAGCGGUGAAAUGCGUAGAUAUUAGGAGGAAUACCAGUGGCGAAGGCGACUUUCUGGACUUAUACUGACGCUGAGGAACGAAAGCGUGGGGAGCAAACAGG
rnacentral:rRNA from 1 species